CCUACGGGGUGCAGCAGUGGGGAAUAUUGGACAAUGGGCGAAAGCCUGAUCCAGCCAUGCCGCGUGUGUGAAGAAGGCCUUCGGGUUGUAAAGCACUUUCAGUGGGGAAGAAAGCCUUGGGGCUAAUACCCUCGAGGAAGGACAUCACCCACAGAAGAAGCACCGGCUAACUCCGUGCCAGCAGCCGCGGUAAUACGGAGGGUGCGAGCGUUAAUCGGAAUUACUGGGCGUAAAGCGCGCGUAGGGCGGUCUGAUAAGCCGGUUGUGAAAGCCCCGGGCUCAACCUGGGAACGGCAUCCGGACUGGUAGGGUAAGAGGCAAGGAAGGGAGGGGAGAAUCCCGGGGGGGGCGGGGAAAUGGGUGGGGGUGGGGGGGAAGAACAGGGGGGAGGGGGGCUUUCUGACUUGACAUGGACGGGGGGGGGGGAAAGCGUGGGUAGAAAACGGGAUUAGAUCCCCUGGUAUUC
rnacentral:rRNA from 1 species